rnacentral:rRNA from 1 species
UACGUAGGGGGCAAGCGUUGUCCGGAAUCAUUGGGCGUAAAGCGCGUAUAGGCGGUUCGGUAAGUCCGCUGUGAAAGUCGGGGGCUCAACCCUCGAAAGCCGGUGGAUACUGUCGGGCUAGAGUGCGGAAGAGGCGAGUGGAAUUCCUGGUGUAGCGGUGAAAUGCGCAGAUAUCAGGAGGAACACCAAUUGCGAAGGCAGCUCGCUGGGACGUUACUGACGCUGAGACGCGAAAGCGUGGGGAGCAAACAGG